AAGCCAUUCCAGUCGGGCCUCAAACCAGAGAUAUCCCAGCAGCCAUUCCAGUCGGGCCUCAAACCAGAGAUAUCCCAGCAGCCAUUCCAGUCGGGCCUCAAACCAGAGAUAUCCCAGCAGCCAUUCCAGUCGGGCCUCAAACCAGAGAUAUCCCAGCAGCCAUUCCAGUUGGGCCUCAAACCAGAGAUAUCCCAGCAGCCAUUCCAGUCUCAGCCAUGUUCCGCACUGGUCCGGCCCAGAUUUUGAGCCCAGCAGCUGAUGGACCUUUGCACCAGGUGGAUCCAGCCCGUAACAAACUCUAUAGAUCAGGCAAUAGAGACUGCAGUUGAGGCCCCCCCCACUGUUGGGCCCAAAGACCCCAAACUACUGCCCUCCCGCUAGCUGUACAACUAUUGGGAAAUUACCUUUUGGAACUUGGUCCUGGCAAAACCCUGCAGCAGUCGGACACAGAACCAGCGUCUUCCCUCCAGCGACAGCCGUCACCCCCAACUACUGCCCAGUCUCCCCUACAGAAAGGGGGUUCCUGCAUGUUAAAGGGCCAAGGACAGGGGCAAUGCAACUGGUUAACCCACAGAGCAGUAGGUUCCCGCCGGGGCCGUGCCACCAUGCCAAGAUGACUGUUGCAUUGUGGUCUAUCUGGCCUAUCACGGUUACAGACCCGGCUCGUAUAAUGGUGAAAGAGAAAUGAACCAGAGAAAGAAGGAAUGAGUGGAGGCAGCAGGAGAAAUGACGGCACCUAAAUCUAUUCCCUAGUAAAUCCAGUUCUUCACGGUGUAAUCUCCAUGAGUUCUAAAAUAUGACUGGGAAACCAACGAGCCAGAGGGCAGAGCUCUCCCCCAUCUGGAACUGACACAGCGCCCAAGAGUUCAGCUUUGCACAGACUGAAAAAUAUUCCUAAUAUACAGCUCUGCGGCCAGACCUCACCCCCCCGGGGGCUUUUCAUUUUCAUAAGGCUCAGUGGUUAUGAGAGUCCUGCCAGACUACUUUUCAGGUAUAAAGGGCAAGUUACAAUGAUACUGUCGGCUGAAGGAAACAAGACUACUAUGGGAUCCCUUAUCCAGAAACCCGUUAUCCAGAAAGCCCGUCUCCCAU